rnacentral:tRNA from 1 species
GUUGAGGUGGCUUAGUUAGUCUAAGGCGCCAGAUUAAGGUUCUGGUCCAAAAGGGCUUGGGUUCAAAUCCCACUCUCAAUA